GUGGGGAAUCUUGCGCAAUGGGCGAAAGCCUGACGCAGCCAUGCCGCGUGAAUGAUGAAGGUCUUAGGAUUGUAAAAUUCUUUCACCGGGGACGAUAAUGACGGUACCCGGAGAAGAAGCUCCGGCUAACUUCGUGCCAGCAGCCGCGGUAAUACGAAGGGGGCUAUCGUUGCUCGGAAUUACUGGGCGUAACGGGCGCGUAGGCGGACAGCUUAGUCAGAGGUUAAAGCCCAGGGCUCAACCUUGGAAUUGCCUUUGAUACUGGCUGUCUUGAGUUUGGGAGAGGUGAGUGGAACGCCGAGUGUAGAGGUGAAAUUCGUAGAUAUUCGGAAGAACACCAGUGGCGAAGGCGACUCACUGGCCCAAUACUGACGCUGAGGCGCGAAAGCGUGGGGAGCAAACAGGAUUAGAAACCCCGGUAGUCC
rnacentral:rRNA from 1 species